GACGAACGCUGGCGGCGUGCCUAAUACAUGCAAGUCGAGCGAAGUUUUUCUGGUGCUUGCACUAGAAAAACUUAGCGGCGAACGGGUGAGUAACACGUAAAGAACCUGCCUCAUAGACUGGGACAACUAUUGGAAACGAUAGCUAAUACCGGAUAACAGUAUUUCUCGCAUGAGAGAUAUUUAAAAGUUGGUUAUGCUAACACUAUGAGAUGGCUUUGCGGUGCAUUAGCUAGUUGGUGGGGUAAAGGCCCACCAAGGCGACGAUGCAUAGCCGACCUGAGAGGGUGAUCGGCCACACUGGGACUGAGACACGGCCCAGACUCCUACGGGAGGCAGCAGUAGGGAAUCUUCCGCAAUGGGCGAAAGCCUGACGGAGCAACGCCGCGUGAGUGAAGAAGGAUUUCGGUUCGUAAAGCUCUGUUGUUAGGGAAGAAUGGAUAUGUAGUAACUAUACAUAUAAGAGACGGUACCUAACCAGAAAGCCACGGCUAACUACGUGCCAGCAGCCGCGGUAAUACGUAGGUGGCAAGCGUUGUCCGGAAUUAUUGGGCGUAAAGCGCGCGCAGGUGGUUUAAUAAGUCUGAUGUGAAAGCCCACGGCUCAACCGUGGAGGGUCAUUGGAAACUGUUAAACUUGAGUGCAGGAGAGAAAAGUGGAAUUCCUAGUGUAGCGGUGAAAUGCGUAGAGAUUAGGAGGAACACCAGUGGCGAAAGCGGCUUUUUGGCCUGUAACUGACACUGAGGCGCGAAAGCGUGGGGAGCAAACAGG
rnacentral:rRNA from 1 species